AAACCGCAGAAGGAACAAACACACCAACACCUACAGACUGCCAAGAAAAAAAAGACAUAUAUAUAUAUAUAUAUAAUUUGGCUAAGAUCACAAGCACCUAGCACUUACGAGCCAAGCCAUCAGAGAACUCUCCCUUCUGCCGCCCAACAUGAGGCAGGCGAUGCCGGGCUCCCACCCAGCACCCGCCGGGCCCCCGACCCCCCGGUGCCACCCCGGGGCGCUGAGGGGCUCGCUCCUUACCUCAGGCCGCCCCCACCGGGGCACGGCUGCGCCUGCAGCGCCCGGCCCCCGAGCCGAGGGACAGACGGACGGACGGAUAGAGGGACGGACGGACCGACGGAGGGAGGGAAGAAGGGAGGGAGGGGACGCCACGAAGCCGGCGCCUCGCUCAGCCGCCGGGCCCGAGCCCAGCGCCACAAGCGGGCCCAGCGCGGCCCCCCCACACCCACAGCCCCCCACCCACCCACCCACCCGGCUCGGGCCGCUCCCCGCCCGCCUGGCGCCGCCCUCGCCCCCCGCUCCACGCCGGGCACUCGGGGCCGCGCAUGGAGGCAGCCGGGUGCCCCCCACGGGGGCGCGCACACGCGGCGACGGGCACGGAGGGGUGGGGGCAAUCACCUGAAGCGGCGGUGGUGGUCGCGGCCGCCGCCUCUUGUUCCUGUUCUCCCUCCUCCUCCCGUCGGUCCCGCGGCGGGGGCUCGGCGCCUCAGAGCGGCGGCUCGGUGCCCGGCGGUGGCGGCAGAGCGGCUCCCCGAGGCACCAUGGCCGCGCCGCGCCGCCUCAGGGCGCCGCCAGCGCACGGCCCCGCAGCAGGGCGGCCAUGGCCCCGCUGCCUGCGCGCGCCCGACGCCCGGCGCCGCGCAUGCGCGCGCCCCGCCUCCGCUGAGGGGAUCGAGGGGGGCAGCGCGGAAUGGCGGCGGUCGCCCCCGCGCUGUGAGGAGGCACCGAGGGGGGCUGUGGAGGGAAGGGGUCGGUGCCCUGCCCGCUGGGCCCCUCUCAAACCCGGCAAGGCCGGGGGUCGGAUUCCGGUGGGACGCCGAGGCUGCAGCUCCGGCUCGGAGCUCCCCGGUGUCCAGGCUGCUGCCGGCCCCAAUAAUGAGUCACAGAAAGUCGCUCUGUAAAAUAUGGGUAGUGUCUGGCUGGAGGUUUGGAAGGGCAGAUCUGCGGUUUUGA
rnacentral:lncRNA from 1 species